UACGUAGGCAGCAAGCGUUGUUCGGAUUUACUGGGCGUAAAGGGUGUGUAGGCGGUUCUCUAAGUCUGGGGUGAAAUCUCCCGGCUCAACUGGGAGGGUGCGCCGAAAACUGGAGGACUAGAGUGCGGGAUGGGAGAGUGGAAUUCCUGGUGUAGCGGUGAAAUGCGUAGAUAUCAGGAGGAACACCUGUGGUGUAGACGGCUCUCUGGACCGCAACUGACGCUGAGACACGAAAGCGUGGGUAGCAAACAGG
rnacentral:rRNA from 1 species